rnacentral:rRNA from 1 species
UACGUAGGGGGCAAGCAUUGUCCGGAAUCAUUGGGCGUAAAGAGCGUGUAGGCGGUCCGGUAAGUCGGCUGUGAAAGUCCAGGGCUCAACCCUGGGAUGCCGGUCGAUACUGCCGGACUAGAGUUCGGAAGAGGCGAGUGGAAUUCCCGGUGUAGCGGUGAAAUGCGCAGAUAUCGGGAGGAACACCUAUGGCGAAGGCAGCUCGCUGGGACGUUACUGACGCUGAGACGCGAAAGCGUGGGGAGCAAACAGG